AGGGCGAUUCAAAAAUAUCCGACGUCCAGACCGGCCACGAAAAGACCCUUACCGGACUGAUACCCGCAUUGGCAGGUGCCAAUAUGAUAUACGGUCCG
rnacentral:ncRNA from 1 species